UAACACAUGCAAGUCGAGGGGUAACAGGUCUUUCGGGACGCUGACGACCGGCGCACGGGUGAGUAACGCGUAUGCAAUCUGCCUUCAGCUGGAGGAUAGCCCGGAGAAAUCCGGAUUAAUACUCCAAAUGCUAUCGGACGGCAUCGUCUGAUAUCUAAAGCUCCGGCGGCUGAUGAUGGGCAUGCGUGACAUUAGUUAGUUGGUGAGGUAACGGCUCACCAAGACUACGAUGUCUAUGGGGUCUUAAAGGAUGAUCCCACACACUGGUACUGAGACACGGACCAGACUCCUACGGGAGGCAGCAGUGAGGAAUAUUGGUCAAUGGGCGAAAGCCUGAACCAGCCAUGCCGCGUGAAGGAUGACGGCCCUACGGGUUGUAAACUUCUUUUGUACGGAAAGAACAAAGGCUACGUGUAGCCUCUUGACGGUACCGUACGAAUAAGCAUCGGCUAACUCCGUGCCAGCAGCCGCGGUAAUACGGAGGAUGCAAGCGUUAUCCGGAUUUAUUAGGUUCAAAGGGUGCGUAGGCGGAGUUUUAAGUCAGUGGUGAAAUCUUGUGGCUCAACCAUGAAACUGCCAUUGAUACUAUUGCUCUUGAAUGUAGUUGAGGUAGGCGGAAUGUGUAGUGUAGCGGUGAAAUGCUUAGAUAUUACACAGAACACCAAUUGCGAAGGCAGCUUACUAGACUAUGAUUGACGCUGAGGCACGAAAGCGUGGGGAGCGAACAGGAUUAGAUACCCUGGUAGUCCACGCUGUAAACGAUGAUCACUGGUUGUUGGCGAUACACUGUCAGCGACUGAGCGAAAGCAUUAAGUGAUCCACCUGGGGAGUACGUCGGCAACGAUGAAACUCAAAGGAAUUGACGGGGGCCCGCACAAGCGGAGGAACAUGUGGUUUAAUUCGAUGAUACGCGAGGAACCUUACCUGGGCUUAAAUGUAGCAUGACUGCUGUCGAAAGAUAGUUUCCCUUCGGGGCAAGUUACAAGGUGCUGCAUGGCUGUCGUCAGCUCGUGCCGUGAGGUGUCGGGUUAAGUCCCAUAACGAGCGCAACCCUUAUCGUUAGUUACCAGCGCGUAAAGGCGGGGACUCUAACGAGACUGCCACCGUAAGGUGUGAGGAAGGUGGGGAUGACGUCAAGUCAGCACGGCCCUUACGUCCAGGGCUACACACGUGUUACAAUGGCCAGUACAAAGGGCAGCUACCAGGCGACUGGAUGCUAAUCUCCAAAACUGGUCUUAGUUCGGAUUGAAGUCUGCAACUCGACUUCAUGAAGUUGGAUUCGCUAGUAAUCGCGCAUCAGCCACGGCGCGGUGAAUACGUUCCCGGGCCUUGUACACACCGCCCGUCAAGCCAUGGAAGCUGGGGGUACAUGAAGUCCGUAACCGCAAGGA
rnacentral:rRNA from 1 species